rnacentral:lncRNA from 1 species
AAAUAAAAGGCUAUUAAAUUAAAAAAAAAAAAAAAAAAAAAAAAACAAAUGCUGCAAAAAAAAAAAAAAAAUGUAAAUUUCCACUCACCAUGAGGAGCAGACACCCAGAAUCCUCUCUUCUCCUGGAGUUGGAGUAUGGAAGGGUUUCCAUCCUUCUCCCAUAUUACCACUGAAAAGCUACAUAGACGCUUUUGGAAAUAACGUAGGAGUAGGAAUUCAUUACCCUUAAGAUCAUUAAGUUUAAGAAGCGGGGUAACUCUUUAUCAUGGAGAAGGGUUUUGAAAAUGUUGAUGCUCAUGAUUGAGAAUUCCAGAAAUGUGGUUUGGAGAAGAUACUGUUGCCCUUGUUGGUUUAAACGGUAAUGGCUAACCCUUUCACAGCCUUUAAGGGUUCCAUUCUUACUUGUUCCUUACAACGCCGCGAUGAUGGAGGUAGGAAAAACUGGCCCCAUCAGAGACUGGCGCAAUGCUAUCGCUUCAGGCUAAGAUCACGUGUCCCCAAUCUCAUCAACGCAUGCGCAAAUGACUCCUCAACGUUGACUGACUAGGCCCAAAUCCUUGGCUAAAAAAACCUCCCCUUUAACUGGAAGACCCUGUGAGGCGGCUGUCCUCACACAGUACUGUAGAUGACUCAGCAAAACUGAUGACAUAUAAGAAACCCACGUCACUGGGUACCAAAACCUCAUCCCGGUCAUUGCUGCUUCAGUUGAAAAAGCCACGUGUCCUCAGUGAUGCCCGCGGCGCCUGCGCAGAUGACCCCCAGCCAGUCGUGCCCUACCACGCUCUUGAAGGCACACCCUUGGACAAGAGAAUGACCUUAUUCCUCUCCUGUGCCCAACAAAAGACUAUGACGUGGGCCAGGACCGCCUUGCUUCCACCUAAAUCUGGGCCUUUGGAUUGACUGCUUCACCAUGUGAUGGGACUAUGAUAUACCUCCACGAUCCCACUAAGAAUUCUUCUCUGGUUCUCUGACAACGGUGACAUCAGAUUAUAAGGUGCUACUGCCAGCCUGAUGACCAUAAAGGAUUCUGUGGCCAGGCUGCUGCCCCUGUGGACCCAUGGGACCUGCACUGGCCUAGCCCGUGGUCAGCAGUGUGCUGGAAGAACUUAGCUCACCUUGGACACUCCCAUCCAAAUCCAGAUAGUGGGUCAAGGCUGUGCACCCCUGGAGCUCAAACCUGAUGAUGCACACGCUGUGAGAGGAGACUCCUGAAUGCCAGUACUUCAACCCCCUAUGUCACCU